CCGACGCAGCGUGCCGACCCGGGCCUGUCUCUCCCGCGAUCGGAUGGUCUCAUGCGGUCUCGUUGGAAAACAAGAGGAAGAUGUUCACGACCGUGGGCCUACUUAACGUCCCGAUGCUCGAAUCGGUACCGUUUCAAUGACAUUACUUCAGAGACGUGUUUAUAAAUAAGGCUCAGCGUCCCUCAUUCCUGACCCAUCCGCUAAUGGAUGCUGUGGAAUGUGACACAGGCACGUUUUCUCAAGCUGCCUGCGCCUGCAUCGUUGGCUCAUGAUGCGUUAGCGAGGAGACCUCAGAUCAGACUGCAGCCGAGAGCAGGCGAGCAAACACAGCCG
ensembl:lncRNA